AGCUAAAAGCCCAGUGAGUAGAACCAUAAAACAUAUUAACACUAUGCUCCAAUGAAAUGCAUCAUAACACAGACAAUUCACAUAAGGGUUGGGUGAACUUGUCACCAAUUAGUCCAAGCUAACUCUGUGCCAGGCCGUAGCAUGGGGUCCUGGUCUUCCUGUCAUAACAUACAUUACUUACCAUUUCCCCAGGGCCUCCUGGUCUUCGAGUCCCAUAACCGUGCCAGGCCGUAGAAUGGGGUCCUGGUCUUUCCUUACUCUGUGUCAGGCCGUAGAAUGGGGUCCUAGUCUUCCUGUCAUGGACUAAUUGGGUCAUCCAAUAUUCACCCACAUCAACAACAAUCGAUGCAAUGCGGCAUAUUCGUGAAA
rnacentral:lncRNA from 1 species